GAUGAACGCUGGCGGCGUGCCUAAUACAUGCAAGUCGAGCGAACAGACGAGGAGCUUGCUCCUCUGACGUUAGCGGCGGACGGGUGAGUAACACGUGGAUAACCUACCUAUAAGACUGGGCUAACUUCGGGAAACCGGAGCUAAUACCGGAUAAUAUAUUGAACCGCAUGGUUCAAUAGUGAAAGACGGUUUUGCUGUCACUUAUAGAUGGAUCCGCGCCGCAUUAGCUAGUUGGUAAGGUAACGGCUUACCAAGGCAACGAUGCGUAGCCGACCUGAGAGGGUGAUCGGCCACACUGGAACUGAGACACGGUCCAGACUCCUACGGGAGGCAGCAGUAGGGAAUCUUCCGCAAUGGGCGAAAGCUUGACGGAGCAACGCCGCGUGAGUGAUGAAGGUCUUCGGAUCGUAAAACUCUGUUAUUAGGGAAGAACAAAUGUGUAAGUAACUAUGCACGUCUUGACGGUACCUAAUCAGAAAGCCACGGCUAACUACGUG
rnacentral:rRNA from 1 species